GCUCGCACAGUUGGUAGAGCAUGGGACUCUUAAUCUCAGGGUUGUGAGUUCAAGCCCCACGUUGGGCA
rnacentral:tRNA from 1 species